GAUCUCUUGGCUUAGUGGUAGAGUAUCUGAUUCCAGUAAACUAGUGGUUCCAGAAGGUCGUCCGUUCGAUCCGGGCAGAGAUCA